GUUAGCAUCAAAAGAGGAUAGCUUAUAGUCAUAAUUGCUCCCUGGGAGAAGGGUUGCCACGGACACUGGAGAACAUUCACGGUUAAUUUUAUAGAACCAUGGCUAAUGGGACAAAUCACUCAGCCAUGGAGACUCCUCAAGCUCAAAAAGCAUAGAGAUGCAAAGAGGGAAGCAGGUCAUGGGCUCUGCCCUGGGCUUCUGAGGGGGUCUUUGGCAAGGGGAAAGCAGGCAGAUGUGACUCACCAGGUCAACUGUGGGUGGCAUUGGACUCAGCUGUCACAGCUGGGCUGACAUCAGCAGCAGGGGAUUGACAUCAGUGCAAAGACAGCAUCAGCGAGCCAGGAGUGUGUGGUCUAACUAGGCCCAGCUGACUUGGUGCUCGUCUAAGGAGGUGCUGUGAUGUGUCCUAGAUCACAUGGAAUAUUAGAGGUGAGGGUGAGCGGUAAGACUCCCAGGCCGGUGCUCUCUCCAUACACCAUACAGAAAGGGAGACAAGAGCAGAUUUUUACAAAAAGUUGUGAAAUCAAGUUAGGAACAACCUGACCCUUGAACAGCCUGCUUCUCAAAGCACAAAAGGUCUUUUGGGUGUUUAGUGACUGCAGUGAUUUGACAUAGCAGCUUUUCAUUACUUCCUGGAGGUGAUUCUUACAGAUUAAGCCAGAAAAAGAUUGCCGUAGUGCAGUCAUCAUGCAUGUGCUGAUCUUUAUUGAUGUUAAGAAGCAAGAAAGAGAUUUAAGUGGGAACCCUUCCUGUGCAGGCAAUACUCUGCCUUACAAACAGGAAACCGUAGUGCAUAAUUAAAACUAUAAUAGUCUUUAAAAGAUAAUAAGCAGCUUGAAUUCCCUAAACACUUCACUUUUUCAAAAUCCUUUGAUGAAUUCUAUCUCACUUGAUCUUCAUAGCUACUUCUGCAUAACUUGGGAGGCAGUAGUAAUCACCCAUUUUGUAGAUGAAUCCGAAACCAGAGAGGUUUGGUGAUUUGCCCAGGAUCACACAGCAGGUACUGUCCGAACUGAGACGAGCAUUUUGCUUCUUUAUCUGGUGUUUUUGUGUAGUAAAGUUCACAAUCCCUUAUCUGAAAUUCUGAAACCCAAACAAAAACAACAAGUCUAUUUUUUUCUUUCCUAACUCAUUUGAUGGCAAAAUUUUUACCUAUCUUGAUCUAGGUUUGGCAAUAAAACCUGUUUCGAGAUGAUGUGAAGCUCUUUUUGUCCUCUUUAGGGAGAAUAUUCAUAUGUUUUUUACCAAAAUUUUAAUGUGUUCAGUUGCAGGAUGCUGCCCCAAAUCAGUGUGUUAUAUUUAUUGUAUUAGUCAUAUUGUCUUUCUACAGUCUCUCCCCAAAAAAGUUCUGAUUUCAAAAGCAUAAUACCAGAGUUUUGGAUGAUAAUUGUAACUCUGAAGUAGACUGUCUUUGUCAUCUAACAGAGCGAGGCAAUAAGGUAUUUCCAUUAACCAGAGAUUCUGGUUAACAGUCACUAUAGAUGGCGUACAUGUAUUGCUAAUGUUGAACAAAUGAGACUAUAAUGAAACAGACUUAAUAUCAACUCAGCAGUUGUUGUGAGAGUGAAAUAAGAUAAUUCAGGUAAAUCAUUUAUCACAGCGUCUGGUUCAUAGGACACAUUUCAUAACGAGAGUGUUAGCUAUUACCUUUCUCAAUAAACUUUGUAUCCCCAUGUUACAGAUGACAGGCAGAGGUUAAGUAACCUGCCAAGGUCACAUGGCCAGUAAGUGGCACCGCCGGGGACGAGACACCCAGGCUGACUGUUCCACCCAAAGCAUAUGCACGACCAGUGGGGUGGAAAUAAUUCUAGGAUCUUCCAGGGGGCUCUAGAAGUCCUUCCAGAUCAUCAUUAUGAAAAUUAAUUACUGAAUCAUUGGACUGCAGCAUGUGGAAGUGUUGUUUAAUAGCCUGCUGGUUAAGAGGUUUUGCUGGCUACAGAUAGAAGGAGUAGAAGAGGGAGAGGGAAGGAGAGAGAGGCAGAGAGAGGGAGAGAGAAUAAACUAGAGAAUGUCUUAUAAAUUAAAAAGUUGGAAUGACUUUAUGGAACAAUUGGCAAACCUCUAUGUCAGAGAAUUAUUACAAGAAUAUUAACUCCUCUGGAUAGACUAGAUGAGGUCUUCCUGGGAAUUCUGGCAAAGAAAAGACACUCCUAGGACUUUCCCCAAAGUUCUGUGGACUAGGUCAGUGAAACCUAUGGUUUUUGGGUAGAAUAAUAACUGUGUGUGUGUGUGUGUGUGUGUGUGUGUGUGUGUGUGUAAUGAGAAUUCCCUCCCCUUCUACCCUCCUGACAGCUCCCCUGAUGACAGCUUUUUUGCCUUCUCAAUUUCCUGCUUUGAACCUAGGAAAUUUUCAUUUGCUUUGGUGGGGAAGGUGGUGGGCUGAGAGAGAAGGGGCAAGAAGAGGAGAGUGGAAUACAGAUCCUUGAGAGAGGAGAGGAGAAGAGGGAAGUGCUUGCUUCAAAAAUGGAUUCCAGUCCAGCCUCCGUCCUUCACGACUCCUGUCCCAGAUGGUGAGAGCAGAGCUCCCAUGCCUGUGCCUGUGGUCUGUCCGGGCAGCCUGGCAAGACAGUGAGCCCCUCGGUGGCUAAGCCCGAGAUUAAGAGGACCUCAGUGCCAUUGUGCUGGCAGCUGCUCAGGCUCACCCGUGUGCCGUGCGCCUCAGCGCAUGUCUGGUCUUCCUCGCUGUUUGGAGCAAGGCACUUGAAAGGCGCCCCCUCCCCCAGACUCCUUGACAUUUGUCCAGAGAUUAAUUGGGCUAAUCCCCUUCUUGGAAGAAUAGGUUGGAGAGUAUGUAUUCAGGGAGGGUGAGGAGGCAGGCCAGGAUUGAAGAGGCUAGCAUUAAUGAAGGCACUGGGGCUUGCUGGAGCCUUUGAAGGAAGAAAAGAGCAAAUUUCUCUGCUGUUCCUGGACAAGGCUGACAGGUGGGCAGGGAGACUGCGGUUCUUCUGUUCCGCCCGGCUUUGCCAGAAGGUCUGUGCGCACCAGCAGUAACAACUUUUGACAGCACCAGCUGUCACUCAGGGAGGGAGCGCUCCCGGCACACCUUGGCCUGCCAUUCUCGUUUCUUGUACUGAGGGCAGAGGGUGAGAGCCCCAAGAUAGGCCAUCCCGAGUGUGGAAGACAUGCAUUGCCUGGAUGCUUGUCUGGGAUGCUUACAAAAGUGUAUAUUUACAGAUUGUUUUGAAUCAAGCAUUCAAAAGGAACAUCAUUUAUUACUUGAGAUUUAUGGUCGAGGGGAGGCAGGGGGCCACGUACAGUGUUUUCUUGUGCUGUAUGCAGCUGUCCAUACUCGACAGGGGAUGCAAGUCUCUUCACCUUAUUGUCUAGUAAUAAUAGCUAGCGUUCCCUGGGAGCUGCGUGUGUGCCAAGGCACCGGUCUAAACAUUUUACAGGUAUUAAUUAAUUUCUUCUUCGUAACAGCCCAAAUGAAGUAGAUGCUAAUAUUGUCUCCAUUUUACAGAGUUAGUACCAUGCCCAGGAUCAUUUGUAAAUCGUGGCACCAAGGCUCAAAUUCCUAUAGUCUGCACUGGCUGCAUUGCUAACAGAGAAAAGGGACUAAGCAUUUUGCCUGGGCUAGUCUCGGUUUGGAACGUGACUUCAGUGAGAUUGAACAGUUAAUUGAGGAUAAUGCAUCCCGGGAGAACUGAGGAUAAAAAGCCAUGGAAAUGCUCUGAGGUCCCUGGGAACCCUCUGAAAGAUAUGUGCCUAAUUGUACUAUCGGUAGAAAAUUUCCUCCAGCUAACAGGAUUGCACGCAUGUGCUGUGUUUCAUUGUCAAUUGCUGUAGGCACCAGCUUUAACAAAUAUGAAAGGUCUGGUGGUUAAUCAAAUGAACUUAAGAGCGUUCUUUAAAUGGGAUUUAUAUUGAUGUCCAUCAUAAAAACUAUUAAUAAUGAGGAACUUAAAAAACGUCAUUGCGAACUGAAAGGGAAUCUGCAAAGGUAUGAAUAUCUGUUCAUCCUUUAUCAGAGGUGAGGUAACCAGGUCAGAGAAAUGACAGAUGCUAAUAAUGGCAGAACAACAAUGGGGAGGCAUAUCUUUGUGGUUUUGAGCACCGUGAGAGCUCUUUGAGUUCGGAGCAUCUAACGUAAAUCUGUUUGUUUCUUCUGUGUAACCACUGUCCACUCAGCAGGUCGCACGCACACAGCCUCUUUGGCCAGCGAUAUUCUUUCCUAUUUUGAGAAUCGGUUUCCUGGCACCAGAGACCAGUGCAGAUUCUCAAGUGGGGUUCAGGAAGAGAAGGGAAAGUAGAUGCAGAGUCAAAUCACCCCCCUCUUUGAACUUUAAAACCACCUAAGAAGGAGUACUGUCUUCAUUUUAUGAUGAGGAAACUAAAGAUCCAAGAAGUUGCUAACCCAAGACCACACAGUGGUUCAACCACAACACCCUCUCUCACCUCCUAACUGCUCUCAUCCCAUGUGGAUCUUCACUGCUUGUUUGAAGCUGAGAGCUCACUGCUGGUGGCUACUUAAGAUGGAAAAUGACGGGGGCGCCUGGGUGGCUCAGUCGGUUAAGCAGCCGACUUUGGCUCAGGUCACGAUCUCGUGGUCCGUGAGUUC